rnacentral:rRNA from 1 species
UACGUAGGGUGCAAGCAUUAAUCGGAAUUAUUGGGCGUAAAGGGCGCGUAGGCGGAUAGUCAAGUCGUGUGUGAAAUUUCGGGGCUCAACCUCGAAGCGGCACAGGAAACUCACUAUCUUGAGGGUAGACGGAGAGAACGGAAUUCCACAAGUAGCGGUGAAAUGCGUAGAUAUGUGGAAGAACACCGGUGGCGAAGGCGGUUCUCUAGUUUAUUCCUGACGCUGAGGCGCGAAAGCAAGGGGAGCAAACAGG